rnacentral:rRNA from 1 species
GACGAACGCUGGCGGCGUGCUUAACACAUGCAAGUCGAACGCUGAAGCUUGGUGCUUGCACUGGGUGGAUGAGUGGCGAACGGGUGAGUAAUACGUGAGUAACCUGCCCUUGACUCUGGGAUAAGCCUGGGAAACUGGGUCUAAUACUGGAUACGACAUGUCACCGCAUGGUGGUGUGUGGAAAGGGUUUUACUGGUUUUGGAAGGGCUCACGGCCUAUCAGCUUGUUGGUGGGGUAAUGGCUCACCAAGGCGACGACGGGUAGCCGGCCUGAGAGGGUGACCGGCCACACUGGGACUGAGACACGGCCCAGACUCCUACGGGAGGCAGCAGUGGGGAAUAUUGCACAAUGGGCGGAAGCCUGAUGCAGCGACGCCGCGUGAGGGAUGACGGCCUUCGGGUUGUAAACCUCUUUCAGCACGGAAGAAGCGAAAGUGACGGUACGUGCAGAAGAAGCGCCGGCUAACUACGUG